GACGAACGCUGGCGGCGUGCUUAACACAUGCAAGUCGAACGGAAAGGCCCUGCUUUUGUGGGGUGCUCGAGUGGCGAACGGGUGAGUAACACGUGAGUAACCUGCCCUUGACUUUGGGAUAACUUCAGGAAACUGGGGCUAAUACCGGAUAGGAGCUCCUGCUGCAUGGUGGGGGUUGGAAAGUUUCGGCGGUUGGGGAUGGACUCGCGGCUUAUCAGCUUGUUGGUGGGGUAGUGGCUUACCAAGGCUUUGACGGGUAGCCGGCCUGAGAGGGUGACCGGCCACAUUGGGACUGAGAUACGGCCCCGACUCCUACGGGAGGCAGCCGUGGGGAAUAUUGCCCAAUGGGCGGAAGCCUGAUGCCGCAACGCCGCGUGCGGGAUGACGGCCUUCGGGUUGUAAACCGCUUUCGCCUGUGACGAAGCGUGAGUGACGGUAAUGGGUAAAGAAGCACCGGCUAACUACGUG
rnacentral:rRNA from 1 species